GCGGAAUUGGUGAAGGGUUAACACACCGGUUUGUGGAUCCGGCAUACAUGGGUUCGAAUCCCAUAUUCCGCC
rnacentral:tRNA from 1 species